GAAAUGCUGUGAAAUUGGCUUACUCAAUUUUUUAAUUCUUAGGGGGUUCUAGUAAAUAUUACAGGAGAAAAAAAAGGAAAAUUAGUAUUCUACAUAUGUAAUGUUUAUAUGUCAUAUCAAUAGCUCUGUCCUGUUAAAAUGGAUGUCGAUAAGACUAAGCAACUUGUUGUCAUGAAGCCUGCUCUUGUGCCAUUGUUUGCCAUUGUCUCUGCAGACAGAGAAUCAGUUCUGGAAUAAUUAGAAAAUUAGUCACUGCAGUACCUUCAGUUGGUCUGUUUGCUUUUGUGUUGAGCAGUUCCCUUUUUCGAUGAGAUAUGCCUGGUAUUUGCUUCUGCUGAUAAGAAAUGGGUAGAAGGGGUGGGAAGAUGACGAGGAAACUAAAGACUCAUUUACAGGGAAAAGUUAAUAUUUGCUAAUCUGCCAGAUACAGUAGGUUAUUGUUUCUUGCUACAGUCUGAAUGGCAAUCUGUGUUUUUCUAAAUUAUGUCGUUUUCCACAAAAUGCAGAUUCAGUGUUAAUCCAUUCAGCAUUGCAGUUACAUCACCUUACAGGAAGCAAGAACAAUAUGUCCCUGUUGUUCUUGAGAACAGCCCGUGUUUGUCAACUACAGAAGGAAGUCACGGACUGAAAGGAGACGGAAGCAGCAUGCUAUUCCACUUAGCAUUACUGGCUUGUGAGGCUUGCUUCACUAUCAGCAUUCUAUACAUCACUGGCCGCUAGGUUUAACUGCAAUUAUAAUUUUAAUAUCCAAGAAUUUGCCAACUUUCUUAGUUGCAAAAAGAAAUGUAGGUUUUGAUGAGUGACAAAGAACAUAUGCUGGAUGCCACAGGCUUGAUUUACUCAAACUAGUGUAAACAAGACCCAAGACCAAAAAAGGUAGUUCAAAUGUAUCUGAUUUAUACAGAUGAAAUCUAAAACAUGCGUGCAUUUAACAUAACUCUACCCAAAUUAUAUUUUUUCAUGUAUUAUGGCAGUUAGUGUCCAGUUGAGGGAGAAAAAUGAUUCUAGACUAAUCUGCAUUUUGAAUUUUGUUUAUGGUAGUGCUAAUGGAAUUGACAGAAUGGACUAAAAGACAUCGCUACAGAUACUGGGUUUAAAAUAGACGCUAAAUUUCAUCCCUACUUUCAGGCCCUCUUACUUAACUACAUUACAACUAAUAUAUAGGAAUAUAACUAACAUAUAGGAAUGAGAGAUUGGAGAUGCACUGUAAACUCUUCACUGAUAAGCAGGACAAAGAAGCUUGCAGGAGUGAAGGAGUGAAGUCCAGUAUGCUUUAAUUAUGGCUGUAAAAAAAUCAAUUCUGCCUCAAUUAUGGGUGUAAAAAAAGAAAAAAAAAGUCAAGAAAUUUGCAGAUACAAAAAUCCAAGUGAGAUCUUGAAAGUACAUAAACUAAUGCAAUUUCUGUGAGCUAUCAACCAGAACUCUCACAGAGCAGAAAUGAUUAAACUGAAAUAAAACCCUCUUUUUUAAAAACUAAGAAGUUAGACUAAGUGUAUCACUGUAGACAAUCAGAAGUAGCCUUUAUGCUCACUAGAGAGAGGGCAAUUUGGUUAUGAGGCAGUCAGCUGCCAGUCUUUAAAAAGAGGCAAAUCUGUGAUUACACUGAACGUUUAAAGCAGUAUUUAAGUAUUACAAAGGGUCAGGUAAACAGAGACUGCUGGGCAGCAGCUGAUCAUGGAACAGUAAUAACAUGAUCAAAUCUGUUUACCAAAUUAUGGCAUGGUGCACAUAAAUGGCAGUCAGCAAAAACUGCGGGAGCAACGUGGAUACGUCAUUGGGGAUGGGUAUUUCAUCAGUCAGAACUGUUCUUGGAGCCCUUGUCUGGUGAGUAUGGUGAAGAAUGUGCACCAUUCUUGCUUUAUACCCUUUUUCCCCAGAACAACUCUCAUGUUUCUUUCUAAAUCUCCUCACCUAAAUCUUCUUCUGCUCUAGUGUCUUUCCUCCUCUUGUGUAUUUUGUUCUUUUAAACUUCCAGAAAAGUCUCCGUGCUAACUGCUUCUUCCUUUCAACUUCCACAAUGCUCUUUUUCCCCAUCUGAGGGGAGCCUUUUCCCUUUGCAUUUGUUCCUGCACCCCUCCUAGUUAAUUUCAUUUGUUUAUUUUCAUUGUUGCCAGUUUUGCAAUCUCAUCAUGAACCUUGGGAAACUAAAUGCUUUCCUUAAAGCUUCAACUGAUACAACUUUAAUGACAGUAUGGGAAUUUCAGCUGGGAACAUCCCUAUGUUGGUCAAUAAACGCUCACUACUGUAGAGGAAAAUAUUGAUGGCAUGAAGCCUAACGAAUGGCUUGAUAACUAAAAGACAGAAAAAUGUUUACUGCAGUCUGUAUUUUCAGUUUUUUAAGCUACCUGUCCCUGCAUGUGAGCAAAUGGCUCACAAUCUACUUUCUCUGGUAGAAAAGAUCUUUUAUAUUUGCUUAAAUACUUGGGCUCAAGCCUUCCUGAUUACUGUUUGUGUGGCCCAGCAAGGGUUUUGGAAGGAUUUGUAUACAGCAGUGAUGGUCACCAACUCAACUCACACCUAACCUAGCUGUCAGCUAGCAAGCUCAGGAAAUAAGGGACGCGUUAGUAACAGAACGGAGCUCAUUGGACUUAAAAGGGUGGUCAACCCAGCGUGAGAAUAUUGCUGUAAGCAUCUCAACUACGGAUUUAAUGCUAACGAGGGGUAUGAAUGUGAGCUGGAAAGGUACAGCCUAAGCAAUUGUAUUUUAUUUUUGAUUCGUUGAAGUGAUGUUGGGUUAGGAACAAAAUAAUCUCGGUGUAGUUGGGGCAUUCCCCCCCAGAACUGAAGGCUCUCAGUGGGUACGUGGAACGUGGCUGCCACCUACCGCUGCACGGGCCGUAAGUCUGGUGUCGGCCGGUGGCAAGGCCGGUUUCAAUGGCUGCAUAUAAAAUAGUGUAUAACAAUGAAAUAAAACGCUCCUGUGGUUGGUGAUCCUCCUCCUGAAUUGACCCAGCUGCGCAGAGGCUGAGGAGGAAACGCACUCAUGUUUAGCAGCUUUUUUUUGUCGGGCCCUUCUCUCUUUGCUUGGAAGAUAUCUUUUGUUUCUUCGUAUUCUCUCUGCGUUGAAAUUUUCCUGCACAAAUACUUUCACUCGCUGUUAUUACUUUGCUUCCUACUUCUAAAGAGCUUGAAAACCUGAAUUCACAAGUUUGUCUCUGAAAAAAAUUUGUUUUGGGAACUAGUCCUUCUCUCAGGACUUCCUUGUAACCUUUUAUCCACUUCCUGAUCUUGAUGUCUACAAAAAUUCUUUUAACCUGUCUUUAAAACAAAGCUGGGCCACUGGUAAGAACAGCUUCCUGUUUGUGUAACCCCUUUGUGGAAUUUCACUCCUUACAAAAGAUCAACUAGAUUUGAAAAUGGACUUGAUGAAAUCUUUCUAAUACUCAGAUCAGUGAUAAAUUGUCCAUAAACCAACUGGACUUUACACCACCAUCAAGCACUCGACUCCCAAACACCACCUCUCAAAUGGCUGUACCCAAAUCAACCUACUGCACCACAACAGUGGCUGUGAUUCUUUUCAAAUGCUGUUACUGACAUCCCAGUCACAAAAGGCAAUUACCUUAAAAAAACUUUCUCAGAAAAUUGUCUACUAAUUUGGAUUUUGAAAAGAUACAGUGAUUUAAAAAGAUUCCACAGAUGCUAAAAUCAGUGGAAUUUGGCCUGGAGUAGCCAAUUCAGUAAGGUGUUCCAUUGCCCCAGGGUUAAAACAUCUCAUCUCAUCUCAUCCAUGGUCUGUCAAUAAAUUAAGCCCAUAAAUUGCCAGUUGUGAGGCUUUGGGAGCUGCUGUGAUAAUCCCAAUGAUACACUAAAUUGAGGUUCACUUGCAGUGGUUUUGGAUUGAUUUGAUUCUAAAAUCCUGGGGGCUGUUCGAUAGCAUAUUUGUUUUCAUUUUUACCAUGAGAUCAAGAACUGCCUAAUUAAGGGAUCUGCAUUUGAAUGCCAAUUUCAGCAAUUUCUGUGGCUUUACGGUAGAUUUUGUAGCCAAGGUUUAGUUUCAAAUAUAAAGCUGAGUAGCAGGAGUAUGUAACUAUCCUCCAAGCUCCGUGAUGUAACCUUGAUUAAGUAAUCUAAUCUGCCUUUGCUGUACCUUCCUAAUGUGUAAAAUAAUACUUUUACAUUUUUAUCUCUACUCUUAUGAGUGGGUCAUUAAAACUAAUUAGGGUAGUCUGUGUCCAGCUGGAAUAAUUGCUGUAUUUUAAAGUCCUGUAAAACAUAUGCAGGAUAGAACAUAAUAAAAGCUGCAGCUGCUGCUCUGCUGAAAUACUUAUUUCCUAAGCCUGACCACCACCCCCCUACCCCGCUUCCUUUCAAAGCCAAAAUUCUCACUGGCUUAAGUAGAAUUUGUCACGGGUGUAAGAGAUCUUGAGUUUGAUCAUAAAAGGGCUUCCACUGAGCAUAACUGCAUCACAAGACUAUGCAUAACUACACAGAUAAAAUGUGCAGCUCUAUCCAAGAAACUAGAGAAUGAAAUACAAGGGCUUUUUAAAAGGAAAAUGACAGGAAACAUACAUACUUGUACUAUGAUUGAGGCAUCUCAUGUUCAAGCUGAUGCACACACAACGAGCUGAUGUAUGUCUUAGAUGCAAUAUAAAAGAACGGCUUAUCUCUUCAAUUUGGAAGCCAUCUCCAUCUCACCAGUGGGGUGAUUUCGCACAAUUGUUUACCAUGAGAAACUGGCAGCCAGUGGUCCGAACCCUGGUGCAGGCCAGGUCACCUUAACUGCAAAUCACACUGUACGACAACCUAAGAGUACCAAGUGAUGAAUUUCUCAAGUGGCGCUCCUGAGUUUGCAGCUCUCCUCUGAGGUGGCCAAAGGACAAAGCCGCAACGAAGGAAUAAGCUGCCGAGGCCCCAGGCCGCCACCACCUCUGUGAUCGAUCACAGCGGGACCCGUCAGCCGCAGCAGAAGGGGACGGCCACCCAGGCCCACCAGCAGCUCCCCUGUACCGCAGGAAGAAGGGCACUGAGGCAGCAGCGCUGCCGCCUUCAGCCGGGCCCGCCAGCGCGACCCAUGGGCCGCCCCUUGCCAUCGCCAAAGAUGGCGGCGCCGGCGCCGCAGCUUCAGCACCGC
rnacentral:lncRNA from 1 species